UACGUAGGGGCUGAGCGUUGUCCGGAUUUAUUGGGCGUAAAGCGCGUGUAGGCGGCUCGGUAAGUCCGGUGUGAAACCUUGGGGCUCAACCCCAAGCCUGCACUGGAUACUGUCGAGCUCGAGUCCGGGAGGGGAGAGCGGAAUUCCUAGUGUAGCGGUGAAAUGCGCAGAUAUUAGGAAGAACACCGGUGGCGAAGGCGGCUCUCUGGAACGGUACUGACGCUGAGACGCGAAAGCGUGGGGAGCGAACAGG
rnacentral:rRNA from 1 species